UAUCCUUUGUCUAGAGGCUAAGCCUGCAUGUCUAAGUACAAGCCUAACUAAGGUGAAACCGCGAAUGGCUCAUUAAAUCACACUUAACCUACUGGAAUGUUAGCAGUUACUUGGAUAACUGCGGUAAUUCUGGAGCUAAUACAUGCGAAAAAUCUCGACUCACGAAGAGAUGCUUUUAUUAGAUCAAAACCAAACAGCCUCUGGCUGUAAUACUGGUGACUCUGAAUAACUUCGGGCUGAUCGCAUCGCCUUGUGCGGGCGACGUUUCCUUCGAAAGUGUGCCCUAUCAACUGUCGACUGUGAUAUAGACGCUCACAGUGGUUUUGACGGGUAACGGGGAAUCAGGGUUCGAUUCCGGAGAGGGAGCCUUAAAAACGGCUACCACAUCUAAGGAAGGCAGCAGGCACGCAAAUUACCCAAUCAUCGAAGAUGGAGGUAGUGACGAAAAAUAACAAUACAAGACUCAUCCGAGGCCUUGUAAUUGGAAUGAGUAUACUUUAAAACCGUUCCCGAGGAUCUAUUGGAGGGCAAGUCUGGUGCCAGCAGCCGCGGUAAUUCCAGCUCCAAUAGCGUAUCUUAAAGUUGUUGUGGUUAAAAAGCUCGUAGUUGGAUUUCGGCAGGCACAGGUUGGUUUGAAUCGCUUCAACACUGACUUUUUUGCCUGUGUGUUUUGCCAGAGUUUGACAGGUGAUCUUAAUCGAUUGUCCGUUGCAGCUGGCAGGAUCACUCUGAAAAAAUUAGAGUGCUCAAAGCAAGCUUGAUUGCUUGAAUAUUCGUGCAUGGAAUAUAGAAUAGGAAGUCGUUUCUAUUUUGUUGUUUUCGGAGAUUGACUUAUGAUUAUAGGGAUAGUCGGGGCAUUUGUAUUCAAACGACAGAGGUGAAAUUCUUGACCGUUUGAGACAAACUACUGCGAAAGCAUUGCCAGAUGUUUUCAUUAUCAGACGAAAGUUAGAGUUCGAGGCGAUUAGAUACCGCCCUAGUUCUACCAUAAACGAUGCAGCUAGCGGAUCUGCCGCCGUUUUUUUUCUGACUGCAAGGAGCCUAGAACCCAAGCUGGGGUUCAAGGAGUAUGGUCGCAAGCUUGAACACUUA
rnacentral:rRNA from 1 species